AUGCCGACGGUCGUCGAGAGGUUCGUGGACUGGAUGGUGUCGUGGUUGCCGAUGUACGAAGAGGCGAAGCUGCUGCUUAUCAUCUACCUCUGGCACCCCAGCACACGGGGUGCGGGGCACGUGUACGAUGGCUUCCCCCAUCUGCUGGUGGCGUGGCACGAGGCUGACAUCGACCGAGGCCUGCUUAAGCUGAGGGCUAGGGCGAGGGACGUGACGGCGUCACAACUCAAGGCGGCGGCUGCAAUCGGUCAAGUGUGGCUCGUCGAGGCUGCCCGUUGUGUUCCGUCGCAGCUGCAGGAUGCGAUAUCAGGCCGGGAAGGUGCCACGCAUUGA
rnacentral:rRNA from 1 species